UCCGCAGGACAGUUCUGUUCCGGACCCAGAGCUCAGACUGCGCGCCGCCACCCGGGGGCGUCAGGCCUCGCUGGGGAUUCAGUGGCUGAAACCCCGAAACUCCGAGCCGGGACGCCUACCUGUGCGCGAUACCUGGGCGCGGUGAGCGACCCAGAGGUACAGGGCCCCCAGGGCGGCCGGCCUGCCUACCACCCACCGCUUGGGCUCUGCAGGGAAACAGAGUCCCACAGGCGCCGUCGCCCUCUGCCCUCCACGGGUUCGAUCCCGACCACUCGGGUGAAGCGCUUGCUUCCCUAAAAGAAUACACGGAUGUCUAGGGGGAGAAAUGGGGAAAGGCGUCUUCUAUUUCGUCAGCGAGGACAACUUCUAGCGCAUGGCUUAACUUUCAGUUGCGCCGGGUAGAGUAGAUGAAUCACAGAAAGGCUAGUAUUUGGCUCAAGGUCAUACAAAAUGCCAAUAUAGCAUCUGGGAUCACUGGAAACACCGGGGAAUGCAGAAAAUGCCAGGACUCCUGAAACUGGCAUGUGUCCCUUAAAACACGUGAAUUAUUCCACCCUGCAGCAGCCACACCAAAUCCUUCAUUCCAUAGCUUUGAGGAUACUGCGAGAAUUCAGCUCCCAUUCUUAGAAAUUCAAAGAUGUACUAAUCCCUCAAA